CCUAUGAAAUCGAGUGGCAAACGGGUGAGUAACGCGUAAACAACCUGCCCUUCGGAUGGGGAUAACAGCCGGAAACGGCUGCUAAUACCGAAUACGAUCUUUUCGUCGCAUGACGGAAAGAAGAAAGGAUGGCCUCUAUACAAAGCUAUCGCCGAAGGAGGGGUUUGCGUCUGAUUAGCUGGUUGGAGGGGUAACGGCCCAACAAGGCGAUGAUCAGUAGCCGGUCUGAGAGGAUGAACGGCCACAUUGGGACUGAGACACGGCCCAGACUCCUACGGGAGGCAGCAGUGGGGAAUCUUCCGCAAUGGACGAAAGUCUGACGGAGCAACGCCGCGUGAGUGAGAAGGUCUUCGGAUUGUAAAACUCUGUUAUACGGGACGAAAAAGACGGAUGCCAACAGUAUCCGUCCGUGACGGU
rnacentral:rRNA from 1 species